ensembl:lncRNA
AGACAUGUGUAUGAAACCAUGUGUAUGAGACGUGUGUAUGAGACGAGUGUAUGAGGCAGCGUGUAUGCGACAUGUGUAUGAGGCAGUGUGUAUGAGACGUGUGUAUGAGGCAGUGUGUAUGAACCGUGUGUAUGAAACCAUGUGUGUGAGACGUGUGUAUGAGGCAGUGUGCAUGAGACAUGUGUAUGAAACCAUGUGUAUGAGACGUGUGUAUGAGACGAGUGUAUGAGACGAGUGUAUGAGACGAGUGUAUGAGGCAGUGUGUAUGAACCGUGUGUAUGAGACGAGUGUAUGAGGCAGUGUGUAUGAACCCUGUGUAUGAAACCAUGUGUGUGAGACGUGUGUAUGAGGCAGUGUCUUCUUUGGUCUAAUUAUAGCUUCAUUCUUGAGAAAUCAUCCUCUUAGAAUUCUUGUGAAUUUUGCAUCAGCUCAUUUUUUUCACUGUAACAUUUACCACGAAUCUGCCACUGACAGGCGACAGCACAACAAGAGGAAUGCAUGCACUCUUCACACAGGUUAGACGAGUUACUGUAAUCCCUUCCAUCAGGGAGACUCGAACCAGAAUUCU